rnacentral:rRNA from 1 species
CAGCAGCCGCGGGAAUACGAGGGGGGCAAGCGUUGUUCGGAAUUAUUGGGCGUAAAGGGCGCGUAGGCGGUUUGGCAAGUUUGGUGUGAAAUCUUCGGGCUCAACUCGAAGUCUGCACCGAAAACUGCCGGGCUUGAGUAUGGGAGAGGUGAGUGGAAUUUCCGGUGUAGCGGUGAAAUGCGUAGAUAUCGGAAGGAACACCUGUGGCGAAAGCGGCUCACUGGACCAUUACUGACGCUGAGGCGCGAAAGCUAGGGGAGCAAACAGGAUUAGAUACCCGCGUAGUCCCUGUCUCUUAUAA